CAUCUACUUUUAAGGGACUAGGUGUUUUGAAGUGCAAAAUCAUGAAUAACUCGAGGAAUGUGGCAUAUGCUAACCAAAUGAGGGAGGCCUAUUCCCAGCUGAUCUGUAAAUUCUUUUUCUUUGAGGCGUAGAUUAGGCAUAGGCUGAUCAUCUAUGCCAGAAUUGUAUUACUACAGAUCAAGGAGGGAACAAGAGAAAGAUAUCGUAACAAAAGCUGGAGAGCAAGCAUUCGGAGAGUUUUCUUGUCUUGCUUCCGUCGAGCAUCUAAUCUCGUUCCACGAGUCAAGGAAGUGGCCAGUUGCACCUAAGCAAGAGUGAUUAUAUAAGCCCAAGGAGCUUGAUACUCUUAUCCAAACCUCAACAGAGAAAAUGCAACACCUAUAAAUUCAAAAAAAAUAAAGAAAUCUCAAUAAUUUCAAGUUAUAUUAGGCCAAGUAUUGAAUCUAUUGAUCUCAAGAAAUGAAAACGAGAAAUGCUAAUUGGGAUUUUUAUAGCAUAAGGAAUAAUAGCUUGAAAAGUCCUACGAGAAAUAGAUCUGAAUAAAAUAGUAAGAUCAUGGUCGCGGGACUUCUGACGAGUCAGUGGACCACCUGUUCACCCAAUGCGUCUUUAUCAAGUAUAUCAUGGUCGCGGGACUCGAAGAAGUCCAGUCGGGGGAGUUGGGUGAUGACAUACAUAGUGUCUAGGAUAGGUGGAAGGAGAGGGAUGGUGGUCAAAGUAGGAGAAACGGCCUAUUCGGUUUAGCAGCAUGCUGGUGGACCAUUUGGAAGGCUAGAAACGACCUUAUCUCUCAUGACAUACAGUUUGACCCUGUAUUUGUGGUGCGCAGGCUCAAGCAACUGAUUGGUUCUUGGAACGACCUUCUAUGAUUUUUUUUAUUUUUUAUUUUUUUUUCUUUUCUCCUUUCCGAGGCCCUGGUUGUCUCACCCUUGUAGCCUAAUUCACUCUUUUAAUGAAUGAAGCAGAUAGCGUGCUACCUAUUCUCAAAAAAAAAAAAAAAA